GACGAACGCUGGCGGCGUGCUUAACACAUGCAAGUCGAACGGUAAGGCCCUUCGGGGUACACGAGUGGCGAACGGGUGAGUAACACGUGGGUGAUCUGCCCUGCACUUCGGGAUAAGCCUGGGAAACUGGGUCUAAUACCGGAUAGGACUCCGGACUGCAUGGUCUGGGGUGGAAAGCUUUUGCGGGGUGGGAUGGGCCCGCGGCCUAUAAGCUUGUUGGUGGGGUGGUGGCCUACCAAGGCGACGACGGGUAGCCGGCCGGAGAGGGUGACCGGCCACACGGGGACUAAGAUACGGCCCAGACUCCUAGGGGGGGCGGCAGUGGGGAAUAUUGCAAAAGGGGAGCAAGGCUAAUGCAGCGACGCCGCGUGGGGGAUGACGGCCUUCGGGUUGUAAACCUCUUUCAGCAUCGACGAAGCGAAAGUGACGGUAGGUGCAGAAGAAGGACCGGCCAACUACGUGCCAGCAGCCGCCGUAA
rnacentral:rRNA from 1 species